rnacentral:misc_RNA from 1 species
AAAUUUCGACCAAUCACGUGCCGAAUUUCAUACAAUUUUCGAUACAAGAACUUGCAUAGUGUCAUACAGGGCACACAUGUACGUACAAGAAAUGAUACAAGAAAAUGUAUACAAGAAACGAUAUCAGAAACGAUAUUAGAAAUGAUACAAGAAAAUGCAUAGUGUCAUACAGCCUUUAGUAAUGGCAUGCUCCACUUGUCGUCGACUAGUCCCUGACUGUCUCUGCGAAUACACUUAUUAAUUGCCUCCCAGCGGUGACAUAAACGUCAAAGUCUUGAAAUGCCCUAUACGGAUUGACCGACACUGACACCUGACAGUUCAAUAAUUCAUCUCAUCGUUUGUUUGUGGUUUGUUUAUUUGUUUGUUUAGUUUAUGUUUAUUGUUUAUCUCUUAGAGAUAAACUUUUUAUAAAAUUUUAGAAUAUAAAAACUUUAAAACUUAUAAAGUAUUAUACUGUGGAUAAUAUGAAAUGAUGCCCAAUGAAUUAAGAAGAAAAAAACAAUGGAGCAAUAAUAAUUUGGCUUCUUUUUAAGUAUUAAUAUAUUUGCUAUAUUAAUUUAAAAUAUACCAAUCAAAUGGAAUUUAUGGAAAAUACAUGUAAAAUAGAAAUAGAUAAUGAGGUGGAAAAUGCCCUUCUGCAUACCUUUAAAAUUGGAAUUAAGGAGGAACGGGAGCUGGAUGAUACUUUUGAUGAUUUGGAGGAUAAGACAUAUCCUUUAAAAACAGAAGUAGAAUACAAUGAAGAUAAAGUUUGUCUCCUUCAAGUACAAGAAACACAUAAAAGUUUCAAAUGUGAAGAUCGACUGACUGAUGAAAACAACGAAUUACAAAAUCAUGUUAUAAAUAACCAAUUGAACCAAUAUAAAACUGAUGGUAGGAAGGUGAAUACUGUUGAAAAAUCCUUUGCUUGUCAAAUUUGUUCUAAAAAGUAUGCAGUAAAGCAGAGUUUAAGAAGACAUUUGAUGGAGCAUCACACUAAAGAAACAUCUUUCACAUAUGAACCCUACUCGAAAAAAAGAAAACACGAAGUUUACACUAAUAUGCACUCUUCUGAAAAACAUUUUAUAUGUGAAAUUUGUAAUAGACAACUCGUAACAAAUCGCAAUUUAAAACAACAUAUGGCAGUGCAUACUGGUGAAAAACCAUUUGGAUGUGAAAUAUGCAAAAGACAAUUUACACAAAGUACUUACUUAAAAGUUCAUAUGAGAACGCACACUGGUGAAAAACCAUUUGGAUGUGAAGUAUGCACAAAAAAAUUUUCCCAAGUUGCUAAUUUAAAAGUUCAUAUGAGAACGCACAUUGGUGAAAAGCCAUUUGGAUGUCAAGUGUGCACAAAACAGUUUAUAACAAAUGCUCAAUUAAAAAGACAUAUGGUGGUGCAUACUGGUGAAAAACCAUUUCGAUGUGAAAAUUGCACCACCGAGUUUUCGCAAAGUUCUGAUUUAAAAAUACAUUUGAGAAUUCACACUGGAGAAAAACUAUUUGGAUGUGAAAUAUGUACAAAACAAUUUUCAAGACGGGUUCAAUUAAGAGAGCAUAUGGUGGUGCAUACUGGUGAAAGACCAUUUGGAUGUGAAAUAUGCACAAAACAGUUUUCAAGACGGGCUGACUUAAAAGUACAUAUGAUAGUGCAUACUGGUGAAAAACCAUUUGAAUGUGAAAUAUGCACAAAACAGUUUACACGAAGUGCUGACUUAAAAAGGCAUACGAUGGUGCAUACUGGUGAAAAACCAUUUGGGUGUGAAAUAUGCACCAAAAAGUUUUCAAGACGGGCUCACUUAAAAGUACAUAAUAUGAUGGUGCAUACUGGUGAAAAACCAUUUGGAUGCUAAAUUUGCUCCAAAGAGUUUUCUCGAAAUUCUGAUUUAAAAAUACAUUUGAGAAUUCACACUGGAUAGAAAUGUGAAAUAUGUUGUACAAAACGGUUUUCACAAAAUGCUCACCCAAAAGUUCACAAACAAAACAUACUGGAAAAAAACCUUGCAUGUAAUAACUGCAUCAGGCAAAGGAACACAUGAAAAUACACACUGCAAGCAGAAUAUAAUGUGAAAACUGAUAUCAUUCUUACACAUCCGUAUGAAAAUGUAUUUAUCACGUUGGCAUGUCAGGUAUUAAGCGCGUUAUGUUUUAGAUAUUUAUCUUUUGGAAUUGGGUGGAACUAUUAUAUAUAUAAAUAAACACGAAAAUAAAU